AGUGGUUGCGAUAUGAUUAUUUGUGCUGCAUGCAAAACUGAAUUAUGUUGGGCAACACGAGGAUUUCGUUGGGGUCCUAAUGGCACUGGUGAUACUUCUGGAGGGUGUAAAUGUUCUGUGAAUAAAAGGUGUCAUCCAUUGUGUCGGAAUUGUCACUAACUGUGUUCAAUAUUAUACGAGUUAUGAAAUAAACAUAUAUUUUAUAGUGUAAAAA
rnacentral:lncRNA from 1 species